AAUACUGAUGCGAAGAGAUGUCGUACGUGUUCACGAACAGUUACUUGUUAUGUUUAGUCGUUGUGUUGUGAGGAAUCGAUGAUCGUUGAAUUAUCGUGAAUCGUUCCUGGUGUUCUUAGUAUCCCGGCAGCAUUGAAUUAUGCACUUUUAUAAAGAGAAGCUCCUGUCGCCCGGACAACUUAAACGCCUUAGUGAGCACAAAUACAGCUGCACAACCAACAGUCUUUUGGAUGGACUUCUUCAACCCUGGUGGAACUGGCUAGUUAGCAAAGUUCCACUUUGGCUUGCGCCCAAUUUAAUCACGGUCUUGGGGCUUGUCGUCAACAUCCUCACGACUUUAAUUCUUGUUUAUUAUAGCCCCGAUGCUAGGAUCGAGGCACCAAGAUGGGCGUGUUUUCUAUGCGCGCUAGGUUUGUUCAUUUAUCAGAGUUUGGAUGCGAUAGAUGGUAAACAAGCUAGACGAACAGGAACUUCUACACCAUUAGGGGAAUUGUUCGAUCAUGGAUGCGAUUCCAUAUCGACAGUAUUUGUUGCCCUAUCAGCAUGUAUAGCAGUACAGUUAGGAUAUUAUCCAACAUGGAUGUUUUUCCAAUGUUUCUGCGCUAUGACACUUUUUUAUUGUGCUCAUUGGCAGACUUACGUUUCAGGAACAUUAAGGUUUGGCAAGGUGGACGUUACAGAAGCACAGUUUACCAUUAUAACCAUUCACCUGAUUUCUGCAAUCUUUGGACCUAAAGCAUGGAUGAUGGAGAUACCAUACAUAGAUGGUUUUAUGUUUAAGUAUUUAAUAGGAGUUAUGACAGUGAUUUGUUCACUGGCAAACUUAUAUUCCAUCUUUUCGGUGAUUUUCACCGGAGGAGUGGGCAAGAAUGGUUCAACUGUGGCUGGAACAUCAGUUUUAUCUCCAAUUAUUCCAUUUAGUUUUGUGGUAGUGCCAGCUUUUAUAAUUUAUAGAAAAAGUGCUGAGCACGUAUAUGAAAAUCAUCCUGCAUUGUACAUACUUGCAUUUGGAAUGGUUGCAGCUAAAGUUACCAAUCGAUUAGUGGUUGCACAUAUGACAAAAAAUGAAAUGCAGUAUUUAGACAGUUCGCUGAUUGGACCAGCAAUGCUGUUCCUGAAUCAGUAUUUCAAUUUCUUUAUCAAAGAAUAUUAUGUUCUUUGGUUGUGCUUUAUUUGGGUUACUCUGGAUUUACUCCGGUAUAGUUCUCAAAUUUGCCUUGAGAUCUGCGAUCACAUGAAGAUCAGACUAUUUAGGAUACCGAUAGGAGAUCAUCGAACAACCCAGGUUUCUAACACAGCUGAAAAAAAUGGUACUAACAGGUCCCAACGUAACAGAUUGCAAAAGAAACAUCACUAAGAUUUAUUUGUGAUAAUGAAUGUACUAUACGAUUCAUUUUAUCUAUAAAUGAAAGAGUUACAAUGUAAGAAGACAUAGAUAUUUGAUAAGUUCCGUUACUACAACUGUAUAUAAAAAUUUGAAUGGUACAGUUCAUUUGUUAUCACAUUAAUUUAUGAUUACUCCGUAUCUGAUUAGCAUUGAAUAUAAAUAAAAAGUCUCACCAAUAUGUUGGUUAAAAAUAUUAUUCACUGCUUGUCGUCGAUUACGAUUAUUCCGGUGAUAGAAAUGGAAAAUUUAUCAGGAAUCUAGUGAUCAAAAUUAUAGUUAAACGAAUAGAACGAUAAAGUACGCAGAACAAUAGACCUCACAAUGAAAGAAAUGAUACAUAAGUAUUAUUCGAGAAUUUGAAGAAAAAAGAUAUGACAUAAAUGUUAAGUAACUUUAUAUCCCAUUGUUAUAACUUUUAUAAUAAUUUAAUUAAAUCAUUGAAUGUGAAUGAAUUACUUAAUUUUUAUUUUGUUAAUAAUUAUAGUUCAAUGAUAUUAUAUUAGAAAUUCGACAUACAUUUCUUUGUGACUUUUGAACUACAAAGAAAAUUUCACACGAUGAAAAGCUCUAUAGAAGAUUAAGUUUUGCAUAUUAUCUUGAAAAGAAAUUAAAUUGCCAGUACUUCUGUAGUUAUUUAUCAGUUAGUAUACUAUAUUCGUGAUCUCAUAAUAUAACAAUCUAUUAACAAUAUGAAAUUUAGACAAAAAAUUAUUUUUUUUUUCAGAUCUGUAGCUCUUAACUGACAUGUAUAUAGAUUCAUAAUACAGAUAUUCCAAUAUUUACAUAGUCAAUUAUAACAAAAAACUACUUAUAAAAAUAUUACCAAAGAUAAUUGCUUCGAGCUAAAGUGAUCCUAAUCUAGAAUGUCUAAACCUUUUUAUAAAAAGGUCUUAAAAUGUCUGUUACCUUUUUUUUUCAACAAAAUUUCGAUUUAGGUUUAAUGAAGAUUUGUAAGGAAUUGAGGUUUCUAAAAGAAUAUUCUUUUUGUAUGAAGUUUUAAUUGAUAACAACUGAGAAAUUAUAAACAAAAAAAUGUUUAGUAUAGGAGGAAAAUCGUACUAUUUUCAUUUUUUAAUAAUUUUAGUUCAACUCAGUUGUGGCCUUAACAUGCGCUUAUGAUUGCAAUCACAUGAAAUGCGUUUUCAAAUCAGGAAUCUCAUUUUUAUGUGAAAAGAAUUAAAUUUUUAUUUAUUGUAAUCGAUGGUUUUUCACGCCAGAUUGGUCAGAAAACGCAUGUCAUUGUAAAAUUUGUUUGCAAUUGUUUACAAGUACUAUAGAUUCUAUAGUUUCAUAGGGAAAAACUAUAUAGCUUCGAAAGUAUAAUACGCUUAUACAGAAACAAUUCAAUCAAAAGCUGCAUACAAAUUUAAAUCGCGGUGUUAGAGUCAAAAAUUAUUUCAAGCGAGUAAUAACAUUACUCGCUAGAAUUAACGAUACAGGUUGUCGAUAAAUUGUAUCGUAAUAAUGUACAUUUAUUUCAAGCAAAGCUUUUUCAUGGACAAAAUUUUGUUUGAAACGUAUUGGAUGUGAAAAAGAUCGCGCGUAGAAAAUUUAAAUUUGAAUAAGAGAGAAACAGAAUAAUAUUCGCUAAGUACUUUAUAAAUUUGAAUUAUCUCGUAGAAUUAUAUUACUUCAUUGUAGAAGAUUCUAUUAGACAUACACUAUUCCAGUUGUAUGGCUCUUAUUUAAGGAAGCCUUGAAUUUUUACGAAACAGUUAAGAUAUCAGAAUGACAAUAUUUCUAAGAAACUUUUCUGCAAUAUUGCCAGAAAAUAAAUAUGUAUCUAAUAUACUAAUGUAUCGUACCUUGGUUUCUGUUCGUAAACUGUAAUAUACUUUUUCGAUAAACAAUUUUCCUAUCACGUGCUAUCUUUCAUUUACACGUUUUCGUUAGAAAAGUUUGUAACGAUGAGAAUCUUUGGAAUUACUUUCUCCUUUUCCUUUCUUCAGAUUUAAUCCAUGUUAAUCCUUUCAAGAUGAUUGCAAAGUUCGCAUGAUGGUGGAACAAGAACCUCUGUUAGACGAGGAUUAUCAUCACGGAUCUGAUACCACCCUCGACCUAUGAUGGAUACAAAAGUAUACAUCAGCGAAAAAUAAUUAUCUGAAGUUACAGGGUUGCGCAAAGAUCUCUGCAUUUACAAAUGUUUACUUUUACAUCUGUUUUCCUCAAUUUACAAGAAGUAGAAAGAGUGAAUUAUCAGAAACAGAAUAUUGUAUUUCAACUUCUUUAAACUUUUAUUGAAUCAUAUAUUGAAUGAUAGUAACAUAUAUUUUGAAGAUUUACUUCAAAGAGAAUUUUGCGUUACCCUGUGUAUCAUAGACUUUAGUUCUAUUGAUAACAGUGAUAGAUACGAGACUGUCCAAUGGUUUUCGAAUGAGAGAGGUAAAACAGUGUACAUCAUAGAAUAUUAGAGUGAGAACUGCGAAGUACAACUACGGUAUCGCCGUUUGUAAGACGAAAAAUAAUAAUUAUUCUUAUGUAGCCUUGAAAAUCGUGAAUUAUACAAUUUCGUAAUCGAUAGUAUCUGGAUUAGCAAACCUUUAUAAAACAACAGAUAGAAUGCAAUUGUUCAGAGCGUAUAUACAGAUGCACUUCGACGAUUAUGUAAGAUACAAAUAAAACGAUCAAUUAUUUUUCCA